GGGCCCGCACAAGCGGUGGAGUAUGUGGUUUAAUUCGAUGCAACGCGAAGAACCUUACCAGGGUUUGACAUCCUGCGAAUCUCUUGGAAACUUGAGAGUGCCUUCGGGAGCGCAGUGACAGGUGGUGCAUGGCUGUCGUCAGCUCGUGUCGUGAGAUGUUGGGUUAAGUCCCGCAACGAGCGCAACCCUCGUCCUAUGUUGCCAGCACGUAAUGGUGGGAACUCAUGGGAUACUGCCGGGGUCAACUCGGAGGAAGGUGGGGAUGACGUCAAAUCAUCAUGCCCCUUAUGUCUUGGGCUUCACGCAUGCUACAAUGGCCGGUACAGAGGGCUGCAAUACCGCAAGGUGGAGCGAAUCCCAAAAAGCCGGUCUCAGUUCGGAUUGAGGUCUGCAACUCGACCUCAUG
rnacentral:rRNA from 1 species